GACGAACGCUGGCGGCGUGCUUAACACAUGCAAGUCGAACGGAAAGGCCCUGCUUUUGUGGGGUGCUCGAGUGGCGAACGGGUGAGUAACACGUGAGUAACCUGCCCUUGACUUUGGGAUAACUUCAGGAAACUGGGGCUAAUACCGGAUAGGAGCUCCUGCUGCAUGGUGGGGGUUGGAAAGUUUCGGCGGUUGGGGAUGGACUCGCGGCUUAUCAGCUUGUUGGUGGGGUAGUGGCUUACCAAGGCAUUGACGGGUAGCCGGCCUGAGAGGGUGACCGGCGACAUUGGGACUGAGAUACGGCCCAGACUCCUACGGGAGGCAGCAGUGGGGAAUAUUGCACAAUGGGCGGAAGCCUGAUGCAGCAACGCCGCGUGCGGGAUGACGGCCUUCGGGUUGUAAACCGCUUUCGCCUGUGACGAAGCGUGAGUGACGGUAAUGGGUAAAGAAGCACCGGCUAACUACGUG
rnacentral:rRNA from 1 species